UCGUCAGAACGAACGCUGGCGGCAGGCCUAACACAUGCAAGUCGAGCGCGCCCUUCGGGGUGAGCGGCGGACGGGUUAGUAACGCGUGGGAACGUACCCUUUGGUAGGGAAUAGCCACUGGAAACGGUGAGUAAUACCCUAUGAGCCCUUCGGGGGAAAGAUUUAUCGCCAAAGGAUCGGCCCGCGUUAGAUUAGGUAGUUGGUGGGGUAAUGGCCUACCAAGCCUACGAUCUAUAGCUGGUUUUAGAGGAUGAUCAGCAACACUGGGACUGAGACACGGCCCAGACUCCUACGGGAGGCAGCAGUGGGGAAUCUUGGACAAUGGGGGCAACCCUGAUCCCAGCCAUGCCGCGUGAGUGAAGAAGGCCUUAGGGUCGUAAAGCUCUUUCGCCUGUGAAGAUAAUGACGGUAGCAGGUAAAGAAACCCCGGCUAACCCCGUGCCAGCAGCAGC
rnacentral:rRNA from 1 species